UACGUAGGGUGCAAGCGUUGUCCGGAAUUAUUGGGCGUAAAGAGCUCGUAGGCGGUUUGUCACGUCUGCUGUGAAAACUGGAGGCUCAACCUCCAGCUUGCAGUGGGUACGAGCAGACUAGAGUGCGGUAGGGGAGAUUGGAAUUCCUGGUGUAGCGGUGGAAUGCGCAGAUAUCAGGAGGAACACCGAUGGCGAAGGCAGAUCUCUGGGCCGUAACUGACGCUGAGGAGCGAAAGCGUGGGGAGCGAACAGG
rnacentral:rRNA from 1 species